GCUUACACAUGCAAGUCGAGCGGUAACAGGGGAGCUUGCUCCUGCUGACGAGCGGCGGACGGGUGAGUAACGCGUAGGAAUCUGCCUAGUAGAGGGGGACAACAUGUGGAAACGCAUGCUAAUACCGCAUACGCCCUGAGGGGGAAAGGAGGGGACUCUUCGGAGCCUUCCGCUAUUAGAUGAGCCUGCGUGAGAUUAGCUAGUUGGUAGGGUAAAGGCCUACCAAGGCGACGAUCUCUAACUGGUCUGAGAGGAUGACCAGUCACACUGGGACUGAGACACGGCCCAGACUCCUACGGGAGGCAGCAGUGGGGAAUAUUGGACAAUGGGCGCAAGCCUGAUCCAGCCAUGCCGCGUGUGUGAAGAAGGCCUUAGGGUUGUAAAGCACUUUCAGGGGUGAGGAAGGGUGAUAGGUUAAUACGUUAUCAUCUUGACGUUAGCCCCAGAAGAAGCACCGGCUAACUCUGUGCCAGCAGCCGCGGUAAUACAGAGGGUGCAAGCGUUAAUCGGAAUUACUGGGCGUAAAGCGCGCGUAGGUGGUUUGUUAAGUCGGAUGUGAAAUCCCAGGGCUCAACCUUGGAAUGGCACCCGAUACUGGCUAGCUAGAGUAUGGUAGAGGGGUGUGGAAUUUCCUGUGUAGCGGUGAAAUGCGUAGAUAUAGGAAGGAACAUCAGUGGCGAAGGCGACACCCUG
rnacentral:rRNA from 1 species